rnacentral:rRNA from 1 species
ACUCAAAACUCAAAGGACUUGACGGUGUUCCAAACCAACCUAGAGGAGCCUGUCCUAUAAUCGAUAAUCCACGCUACACCUCACCCCCUCUCGAAACCAGUCUGUAUACCGCCGUCUUUCAGUUCGCCUUAUGACAGACCCAUAGCGAACACAACAGCCCAUCACUCAAACGUCAGGUCAAGGUGCAACUAAUGAGGGGGCAGCGAUGGGCUACAUUUUCUAUAACAGAACACCACUAUCCACCACAUGAAACAUAGGCCACAAGGCGGAUUUAGCAGUAAGCUAAACA